UUUAUACAUUGACCAUUCGAUGAGAAUACGCACACUUGUCUUGAUACUACAUUUUCUUCAUUUCAGACUGUUCAAACGGCCUACCCUAUUGCCAUGGCUGACAAAGGAAAUCCUACACGUUCUAUGGUGAGGGAAAUUCGAAUGGUACUUGUUGGAAAGACUGGAGUAGUUAAAUGUGAAACAGGGAAUACAAUAUGUGGAGCAGGAAA